rnacentral:ncRNA from 2 species
UUAGAAAAUAUGCAAAUAACUUGUAUAAAUCAACAUAAUGGGUUGAUGUCUCUACCAUAGCACCGAUGCUAUGACUAUAGGUUAUAUUCACAAAAAU